UACGAAGGGGACUAGCGUUGUUCGGAAUCACUGGGCGUAAAGCGCACGUAGGCGGAUAUAUAAGUCAGGGGUGAAAUCCCGGGGCUCAACCUCGGAACUGCCUUUGAUACUGUAGAUCUUGAGUUCGAUAGAGGUGGGUGGAAUUCCUAGUGUAGAGGUGAAAUUCGUAGAUAUUAGGAAGAACACCGGUGGCGAAGGCGGCCCACUGGAUCGAUACUGACGCUGAGGUGCGAAAGCGUGGGGAGCAAACAGG
rnacentral:rRNA from 1 species